AUACUUACCUGGCAAAGGGAGACACCGUGAUCAGAGGCGGUUCACCCAGGGCGAGGCUCAGCCGGCACUCCGGCUGUGCUGACCCCUGCGAAUUUCUCAAAAUGUGGAAAUCUCGAUGCAUAAUUUAUGGUAGUGGGGGACUGCGUGCCUGCGCUCUCCUG